GCGCUAAACCUCUCACAAUAUACCAUUAGAAUACAAGUGUACAGAAUUUUCAAACAAAUCUGAAAAAUGUUUUGAUAAAAAUAUAAUAUAAAAAUAUGGUUUACAUUUUAUAUUAUACAAUAAACAAGGAAAUACGGAUAAGGUGUUAAGUGUCUAUAAGGUACCAUAACCACUAAUAAUCACAUGUGUUACCAUUCAUAAAUAACGUAUAUCCAUACACUGAUAGACCAGGCAAAGCUCUUCAAAAUGAUUGUUACAACUUUGACAAACAAUGUUUUGUAUUGCAUACGUAUAUAGUAUCAUUUAUAUCAUGUAUAUCAUUGUAUAAAAGUGAACUGGUUUCCAGUACUAUUUUUUUCCUGUGCGACAUGUAUUACUCAAACAUUUUGAAACCUACAUUGACGAAAUAAAGUGCAAAAGUGCAAUGUGUGCAUCGUAUAAGACAAAAAUAUAUGAAGUGCUUAAAAUAAUGUUAAUAAAGUAUCCAUACGGACAUUUUCAGCAAAUAAAACCAAAUACGUGGCGACUUUAGAGUAGUUUUUUGUAUUUGAAUAAUUUAUCACUGUUUGAGUGGAAUUAACAAGUCCUUUUUUGCCAACCAUCUAAUAAAUCAUGUAUUGAUAUGAAUUUGACUUCUGUACCAACCUUAGGUCUUAAAAAUUAAAUAAGAUCAGAGCAUGCACGUAUACUUUAAAAAGUUUAAGUUACAAAAAAAAGUUACAUAAAAAAAAUACAAAUUGAACACUCAAACAUGAGUUGUGUAUUUUUUGACACGCCAUAUGUUUCAAGACCUUAUAUGCAAAUGAAUUUAAAAUACUAAAACUGGCAAAACUAAACUCCUGAGAUUAUAACUUGAUUGACUUCACAACACAGAAAUUUGUAAAAUAAACAUUUAAAACUUAAGAUUUGAUUUGAUGAAUUCACAA
rnacentral:lncRNA from 1 species